UACGAAGGGGGCUAGCGUUGCUCGGAAUUACUGGGCGUAAAGCGCACGUAGGCGGCUUCUUAAGUCGGGGGUGAAAUCCUGGAGCUCAACUCCAGAACUGCCUUUGAUACUGAGGAUCUUGAGUUCGGGAGAGGUGAGUGGAACUGCGAGUGUAGAGGUGAAAUUCGUAGAUAUUCGCAAGAACACCAGUGGCGAAGGCGGCUCACUGGCCCGAUACUGACGCUGAGGCACGAAAGCGUGGGGAGCAAACAGG
rnacentral:rRNA from 1 species